rnacentral:rRNA from 1 species
CCUUUGUACACACCGCCCGUCGCUACUACCGAUUGAACGGCUCAGUGAGGCUUUCGGACUGGCUCCAGGGGGUUGGCAACGACCACCCAGAGCCGGAAAGUUAGUCAAACUCGGUCGUUUAGAGG